rfam:Nippostrongylus brasiliensis genome assembly, scaffold: NBR_scaffold0000456
ACAUCGGUAGCACAGUGGUUAAUGCAGUCUGCCGGAAACUGAAAGAUGCGGGUUCAAUUCCCGUCCGAUGUC